CCAGGCAUUGUGGCGGGUGCUUGUAGUCCCAGCUACUUGGAAGGCUGAGGCAAGAGAUUUGCUAAGCCCAGGAGUUGAAGGUUGCUGUGAGCUGUGCUGCCACAGCACUACCGAGGGCGAUAAAGUGAGACUCUAUCUCUACCAAAAAAAAAAUGAAGAGACAGAGUUUCACUUUGUCGCCCUGGGUAGAGUGCUAGGGCAUCACAGCUUAUAGCAACCACAAAUUCUUGGGUUGAAGCAACUCACUUGCCUC
rnacentral:sRNA from 1 species